GGUUAUGAUGGUUAGCCGGCCUGAGAGGGUGAUCGGCCACACUGGGACUGAGACACGGCCCAGACUCCUACGGGAGGCAGCAGUGGGGAAUAUUGCGCAAUGGGGGAAACCCUGACGCAGCAACGCCGCGUGGAUGAGGAAGGCCUUCGGGUUGUAAAAUCCUGUUAGGUGGGAAGAAAGCUAUAAUGGUUAAUACCCAUUGUAUUUGACGGUACCAUCGAAGAAAGCCCCGGCUAACUCCGUGCCAGCAGCCGCGGUAAUACGGAGGGGGCAAGCGUUAUUCGGAAUUACUGGGCGUAAAGGGCGCGUAGGCGGUUCUAUAAGUUAGAUGCUAAAUCCCUUGGCUUAACCAAGGUCUCGCAUUUAAUACUGUAGAACUAGAGUACAGUAGAGGAGAAUGGAAUUUCCAGUGUAGCGGUGAAAUGCGUAGAUAUUGGAAGGAACACCUGUGGCGAAGGCGAUUCUCUGGGCUGAUACUGACGCUGAGGCGCGAAAGCUAGGGUAGCAAACGGGAUUAGAUACCCCGGUAGUCCUAGCUGUAAACGAUGGACACUAGGUGUAAGAGGUAUCGAUUCCCCCUGUGCCGAAGUUAACACAUUAAGUGUCCCGCCUGGGGAGUACGUUCGCAAGAAUGAAACUCAAAGGAAUUGACGGGGGCCCGCACAAGCGGUGGAGCAUGUGGUUUAAUUCGAAGCAACGCGAAAAACCUUACCAGGGUUUGACAUAUACCUGACCGCAUCAGAGAUAAUGUUUUCUCUUCGGAGACAGGUAUACAGGUGCUGCAUGGCUGUCGUCAGCUCGUGUCGUGAGAUGUUGGGUUAAGUCCCGCAACGAGUGCAACCCUCACCCUUAGUUGCCAUCAGGUAAUGCUGGGCACUGUAAGGGGACUGCCGGUGAUAAACCGGAGGAAGGUGGGGAUGACGUCAAGUCCUCAUGGCCUUUAUAUCCUGGGCUACACACGUGCUACAAUGGUCGGUACAAAGGGUUGCCAAACCGUGAGGUCGAGCUAAUCCCAAAAAACCGAUCUCAGUUCGGAUUGGAGUCUGAAAUUCGACUCCAUGAAGGUGGAAUCGCUAGUAAUCGUGGAUCAGCAUGCCACGGUGAAUACGUUCCCGGGCCUUGUACACACCGCCCGUCACACCACGAAAGUUAACUGUACCAGAAGUUGCUGAGCUAACCGCAAGGAGGCAGGUACCUAAGGUAUG
rnacentral:rRNA from 1 species